rnacentral:siRNA from 1 species
CGGAAAGCAUUCCAAACUCGGGAC